rnacentral:lncRNA from 1 species
AUAUGAGUCUGAAAGUACGUAGGAAUCGUUGCAUCAUGUUUGCAUUACAUGUUUCAAAACUUUUGGGUUUGGAGAGUGCCGUUAGACCUAAACCCGUCCCGUGUAAUAAAAACUAGACGUAGUAAGGGUGGAUGCAACAGAGAACUGCAGAAGAGAAGAUCAAGACAGACAGGAUGGACACCAAAUCUUAUUUGAGUAAGCAAUUAGAACAACUUAGACUGUCUGGUGUGAGAAGAAUAAGGAAUAAAUUGGAUCCAGUCUGACAAGAGUUAUGGGAUCAGAAAUCAGGACCAUAGUAUUGGAAGCAUUGUAUAAAGGUUUGAAGGAUUUUCUCAAAUGGAGCACGACGUUACUGCAGUCGCUUCAUGAGAUUAAAAGACUUCAAUGUAUACUCUUCAUCAACAUGCCUGUUCCAGUAAUAUUAUUAGAGAGAAAGGAAUGAAGGUUCAAGGAUGGGGGAAAAUGAUACUCCAUAUGAUUUCGAUAUAAGUAAGAAGGCAGCUCUUGCACGAGAUCGUAAUAUGGGAAAAGUUAUGAGAAAAGCAGUUAAAGAAAUUGGGUAAAUAUAAGGCCAAUUGACGAGAGCUCAGGAAUCCAUUGAUUUUGAUGUCUCAGAGAUAUAUCAGAAAACCAUGAACGCCAAGGUAAAUCGAUUGGAAGUCAAGAAAUCAAAGCAACAAGAUGAAAUCUUUUUCUCUCCGAUUCAUAAUACAGGAGAUACAGGCUCGAAUUGCUGGCACGAAAAUUAGGUAACUAUCCUACCUUCAGGAAGACAACAUCUAUUUGCCCGGUAGCAGUGAAAGGAAGGGAGGAUAUUAUGGGUAACCAUAUGAGUAUGAUUGAAUUGGCAUCUUAAAAAGGUAGAUUUGCAUGUUUGUGAGAAUCGGGAUGGCCUCGGUGUGGAAAUGGAAGAGAAUUUAGAAAGAGUCAUAUAGAACCAAAUCAACUGUUAGCUAAGGACAAUGUUGAGGGGGUUGUUUAAGAGAAACAUAUACCAAGGUUUGCGAUAUGCAGGGAAUAAUGAUAUUAAAGAACAAGAGGAAGUUUUAAUGAGUUUCGGUCUGUUGGAUUUUUGUGACCCCAGAAUGUUGGACCCAGGAAGACACAUUUAAUCCAGGUCAGAACCCGUGAUGUAGAGCCCCCAUAAAUUCUUACCUUGGUUGAUGCUAUUGUUAGUCUUAUGAAUUCAAGAGCGGAGCAGGCUAGAUUGCUGAACAGGAACAUUCAGAAUAUAGGGAAUUAACGUGGUUGUUGGGAAUUGAAGCAGUAUCAAAACCACUAACUUUUGGGAAGACACUAUUCUUAACCUUUCACACAAC